CCUGUGGCAGCGGGGGAGGGGCUCGGUUUGCCUGGGUUCUAGGAACUGAGCAGAGCAGGGCAGCAGGUCUACCCCACAGGAAACAGGAUGUCUCCCCAAGAUGGAGCUGCGGCUGCCAUCCACAAGGGACAGCAGUCCGCCGUGUGACUCACGCCCUCACAGAGAGAUCAGGAGUCCACAGACUGCCUGUCACAAAUCCAGCUCUAAACAAACACUAGGCUGACCACGGCCACCGGGCACGUAAGGACAGAGUCCGACCAAGCCUGGGCUACUCUGCAUCGCGGGCACCAUGUCAUCCCAGCUACAGAGUCCAAGGCCCACCGGGGCGGCCCCCUCAGCCACAUAAACCAGCAGGGACCCGAGAAAAUGCUGGAAGCAGGCCAGCCAGACCGGCCCCCACGGCUCAGCAGCGCUGGGUCGUGUCCAGAACUGGCAACCAGGGCUCUGGCGGUGGGCAGUGGUGCCCUCCCCAGAACCAGGAAUGACAAACCAGCAAGACGGCACACGGGGUGCCGGAAGGUGCCCCCGCACACUAUAUGUCCACGAACACCCACAACCAGAAUACGCUGCACUCCAAGGUCAAAUGCCGGGUCCCAGAGGCCCCGAAGGACCUUUGGCUUGCAAGGACCAGCGAUACCGAGGGGCCCAGCAACCAGGAACGGCACCAGCCGGCAAGGGCUGCGGAGGCUGGCCUCGAACUCCUGAUCCGCGCUCUGAGGAACGCAGCAGUAACGGUGAUAGCAACGGCUUAGCUGUGGCCUACGCCGUCCGUGAGGCAGAGGCAGGCGGAUCCGAGUUCGCCUGCUCUUCAGGGCGAGUCCCAGGGCGGCCGGGGUUAAGCAGAGAAACCCAGUCCCCAAGCAAAAAGAAAUGUCGACAGAUGAGCGCGUGAUGGGUGACAGGCAGCUCCACCUGGCAGGAGGCCGGGGAGGCGGGAAAUCGAGGCCAGCCACCCUUGGCGACGUUCGCUGCCGUCUAGGGCUGCAUAAAACCUGGCCUCACAACUGGGCGUGGAAGGCGCCCUUAAUCCCAGCGCUCGGGAGGCGGAGGCAGCCGGGUCUCGGUGAGUUCCAGGCCAGCCACGGCUACACAGAGAAACCCUGUCUCGGAAAAACCUCGCUUCAAAAACCGAACCAAAGCUGCUGCUUCUUGGCUUUCAGUCAGUUGUCUCCAGUCUGCUUCCUCUUUGGACGAGAUCUCACUCUGUAGCCCAGACCUCCGGGCCUUCCCUCUGCCUCAGCCUCCCGGGGGAGGCGGGGCGGGACCCGGGCGCGCUCCCGGCCACGCCGCGCGCGUCCGGCAGGGGGCGCCGCAGGGCCGCGAGCGCGCUGUCCCCGCCUGACCCUGGCCGCAGCCUGCGCGCGCUGCGGCGUCCAUUGUUCCCGGGCAAUGCACUCCCUCGGCUGAGCCGGGGAGACGAGAGCGGCUUCCCAGCCUGCAAUGCGGAAAGCUCUAAACGACCCGGUUCCGGCCUCCCUCCCUGCUGGUUUCCUUAAUGCCUGACCUCUGCGUGCGCAAGAGGGGACGCGGAGCCGGUGUCGGUGGACUGACACCCGAGGAGUGACGGGCAGGAGGACUCAGCUCCAAGGCCGCCUACAAAUGGGGUCGUGACUCCAUUCCUUUUCCUUUUCCUUAUUUUUUUUUUCUAACCCGACCAGCGCAUGCGCCCUCUGGUCGGGAGCGCCCUGAUUUAUUUUUCUGGAAGAACCCAGAGCUCCCCGAAGUGUCAGAGACGCCUCACAGCUUUCCAGGCAGAGUGGGGUCUUGUAAUGGGACGGGGCCAAUGUUCUCAAAGAGGUUCAGGGGGCCAGGUAGCCGCCCGGGUGCAGAGCACGCCCCUGGCCCGUGAGAAGGGAGCCCGGGGGCCCGGCCACGCAGGCUCCUAGACCGGCCUUGGCCUCGCAAGCCUGUCUUCCCUCAGGCUGGAGAUUGGAGGAGCGGGUUCGAAAGGUUAUCCUUAGCCACACCUGAGUUCAAGACCACCCUGGCUACACUGAGACUUUGUUUCAGAAAGCAAUACUAAAGAGGGGAUGGAAAAAUGAAAGGUGGGGGAUGGCUCAGAGGUUAAGCGCACCGGCUGCUCUCCCAGCAACAACAUGGUGGCUCACAGCCACCUCUAAGGAGAGCUGGUGCCCUCUUCUGAUGGGUAGGCACACACGCAGGCGCAACAGUGUGUACAAAAUAAAUAAAAUCCUCUUAAAAAAUAAUAAAAAACAUGUAAAAGAAGGAAAGGAAAGCCAGGGCCUCAACCGCAGAAGAGACACAGGGAACUGAGGCCGACGAGGCUGGACCAGCCUGCCAUCUCAAAGCUUUGAAAGGUAAGGCAGGAGGAUUGUGGGAAAUUCCUAGGCGACCUGGGCUUCCCAGCAAUACCAAGUAUCAAAAACGAAUCAAGACGCUGAGAUCACUGAGGAAAAACGCAGUCACACGAGCCCGAUGACCUGACACUGCCCCCCAAACCAUGGUGCAUAGAGAAUGCCGCUCCAGAGACUCCUCUGACCCACACGUGCCCCGCGGCGCAGACAUCAAGCACACAUUAACCGGACUGGGCUCUGAGCACUGGGGUGACACCACAGACCCCAGUCGUCAGUCCUGCGCGGUGGAGGCUGGUGAUCGCGCGGCUCCAGGUCAGACUGAGCUGCGGAUGACCCUCGCUCCAAAAAGCAGUAACUUCGUUUUUGUUGUUUGUUUUCCAGACGGGGUACAAGCCCUGGCUGGCUUGAAACUCACGAUGUAGACCAGGCUGGGGCCUCGGACCUGCCUGCUUUUGACUCGCAGCUGCUGGGAUCAAAGGUGCGGGCUAUGACACCUGGUAAAAAUAAAAUUUAUUUGAGAAAAA